rnacentral:rRNA from 1 species
CGAACGCUGGCGGCGUGCUUAACACAUGCAAGGCGAACGCGAAAGGGACUUCGGUCCUGAGUAAAGUGGCGCACGGGUGAGUAACGCGUAGAUAACCUGUCUUCAUGUCUGGAAUAAUACGCCGAAAGGGGUACUAAUACCGGAUAUUCUUGCUUUUCAUAAGUUAUGCAAGCAAAGGUGGCCUCUGCAUAUGCUACUGCAUGAAGAGGGGUCUGCGUACCAUUAGCUAGUAGGUGGGGUAAUGGCCUACCUAGGCGACGAUGGUUAGCGGGUCUGAGAGGAUGAUCCGCCACACUGGCACUGGAACACGGGCCAGACUCCUACGGGAGGCAGCAGUGAGGAAUAUUGCGCAAUGGGGGAAACCCUGACGCAGCGACGCCGCGUGAGUGAAGGAAGGCCUUCGGGUCGUAAAGCUCUGUCAAGAGGAAAGAAGUGUACAAUGGCUAAUACCUGUUGUAUUUGACGGUACCUCUAAAGGAAGCACCGGCUAACUCCGUGCCAGCCGCAGC